GAAAAAUAGUUGUUUCCGGGUUCGCGCCGUUUUUUCACUUCCGGUCGCGUCCUAAUGACGUAUUUCCGGUCCGCGGCUUGUUAGCUAGGUCCUCAUUGGAACGCAUAUGCGUUCCACACAUUCAAUAAACUUUACUCUCUAGUCAAAGAACAAAAGUCCAUAUUUGUACAGGCUCUGUUUUUUCCCUUGAGCCAUAGACAAUAUACAUGCUAGAUGAUAGAUACAUUUGGUAUGG